GACGAACGCUGGCGGCGUGCCUAAUACAUGCAAGUCGAACGCAGUGGGGACGGGUGAGUAACACGUGGGUAACCUCCCAUCAGAGGGGAUAACACUUGGCAACAGGUGCUAAACCGAUACUGAUGGAUGGUCCUGCGGUGCAUUAGCUAGUUGGUGAGGUAACGGCUCACAAAGGCCACGAUGCAUAGCGGACCUGAGAGGGUGAUCGGCCAAACUGGGACUGAGACACGGCCCAGACGCCUACGGGAGGCAGCAGUAGGGAAUCUUGGGCAAUGGACGAAAGUCUGACCGAGCCAUGCCGCGUGAGUGAAGAAGGUUUUCGGAUUGUAAAGCUCUUUUGGUAGGGAAGCGGUAUCUAACCAGGAAGCCACGGCUAACUACGUGCCAGCAGCCGCGGUAAUUC
rnacentral:rRNA from 1 species